CUUGAUGGAUCCCAGCAGCAGCGGCCGGUCGUCCGGACGGUCCUGGCCGUAGGUGGCGAGCAGUGCCUGGAGCUC
rfam:Streptomyces violaceusniger Tu 4113, complete genome.